rnacentral:rRNA from 1 species
GACGAACGCUGGCGGCGUGCUUAACACAUGCAAGUCGAACGGAAAGGCCCUGCUUUUGUGGGGUGCUCGAGUGGCGAACGGGUGAGUAACACGCGAGUAACCUGCCCUUGACUUUGGGAUAACUUCAGGAAACUGGGGCUAAUACCGGAUAGGAGCUCCUGCAGCAUGGUGGGGGUUGGAAAGUUUCGGCGGUUGGGGAUGGACUCGCGGCUUAUCAGCUUGUUGGUGGGGUAGUGGCUUACCAAGGCUUUGACGGGUAGCCGGCCUGAGAGGGUGACCGGCCACAUUGGGACUGAGAUAGGGCCCAGACGCCAACGGGAGGCAACAGUGGGGAAUAUGGCACAGUGGGCGGAAGCGUGAUGCGGCGACGCCGCGUGCGGGAUGACGGCCUUCGGGUUGUAAACCGCUUUCGCCUGUGACGAAGCGUGAGUGACGGUAAUGGGUAAAGAAGCACCGGCUAACUACGUG